rnacentral:rRNA from 1 species
UACGAAGGGGGCUAGCGUUGUUCGGAAUCACUGGGCGUAAAGGGCGCGUAGGCGGCUUUAUAAGUCGGGGGUGAAAGCCUGUGGCUCAACCACAGAAUUGCCCUUCGAUACUGUAGAGCUUGAGACCGGAAGAGGUAAGUGGAACUGCGAGUGUAGAGGUGAAAUUCGUAGAUAUUCGCAAGAACACCAGUGGCGAAGGCGGCUUACUGGUCCGGUUCUGACGCUGAGGCGCGAAAGCGUGGGAGCAAACAGGAUAGAUACCCCA